rnacentral:rRNA from 1 species
UCAGUAACGGCGAGUGAAGCGGCAACAGCUCAAAUUUGAAAUCUGGCCCUUGUGGCCCGAAUUGUAAUUUGUAGAGGAUGCUUCGGGUGCGGCACCGUUCUAAGUUCCUUGGAACAGGGCGUCAUAGAGGGUGAGAAUCCCGUACGUGACCGGUCGCCUAUCCCAUGUGAAGCUCCUUCGACGAGUCGAGUUGUUUGGGAAUGCAGCUCAAAAUGGGUGGUAUAUUUCAUCUAAAGCUAAAUACCGGCCAGAGACCGAUAGCGCACAAGUAGAGUGAUCGAAAGAUGAAAAGCACUUUGGAAAGAGAGUUAAAAAGUACGUGAAAUUGUUGAAAGGGAAGCGCUUGCAACCAGACUCGCCCCGGGGUGAUCAACCGUCGUUCUCGGCGGUGUACUCUCCCCGGGCGGGCCAGCAUCGGUUUGGGCGGUGGGAUAAAGGUUCCGGGAAUGUAGCUCCUCUCGGGGAGUGUUAUAGCCCGGGGCGUCAUGCCGCCAGCCUGGACCGAGGACCGCGCUUUUGCUAGGAUGCUGGCGUAAUGGUUGCCAGCGACCCGUCUUGAAACACGGACCAAGGAGUCGACCAACGAUGCGAGUGUUUGGGUGUUAAACCCGUGCGCGUAAUGAAAGUGAACGGAGGUGAGAACCCGCAAGGGCGCAUCAUCGACCGAUCCUGAUGUCUUCGGAUGGAUUUGAGUAUGAGCAUUGCUGGUCGGACCCGAAAGAUGAUGAACUAUACGUGAAUAGGGUGAAGCCAGAGGAAACUCUGGUGGAGGCUCGCAGCGGUUCUGACGUGCAAAUCGAUCGUCAAAUUUGCGUAUAGGGGCGAAAG